GAAUCCUCAAGAAAUAAUAUAAAAUGGGGCCUAAGGUCCAGUCCCUCAACACAAAUCAAUUGGUUGGUGUUGGAGCUUGUUAUGCCAUUUUCCUUUAAACGAUCCAUCCAAUCCUUGCUCUUUCAAGCCUUUUAAGCCUAAUUUAGCAAAAAGGACAGGCAAAACCAUGACUGACAAAAACAAAAGCUCUCCAACUCGAUCAACAGUGGUGUCACCAACAUCACCACAAAGCUCAUGUGGGUCCAAUGAUAUCAACCAAGAUGGCAACAACAACAACCAUGAAGUCAUUUCUGUAGUAGUUGGUUGCUCUCACUGCCUUAUGUAUAUGAUGAUCAAUAAGGGUGAAAUCAAGUGCCCCAAAUGCAACAACACCAAUUUGAUUCAUUUUACCAAUGACAACAAAAAGAGGGGAUAGAGUAAUAGGCUAGCUUGUUUCCAUUUCUACAUUCUAUGUUGCAAGUGGGACAUGUUAUCAUUUAAUCUUGGAAUUUCCUUUUUAUAUUUCCUUUUUAUCCUUUUUACCAAAACCUUUCUAUGAUUAGUGCUACUUGUGUUA